UAUUGCAAAUUUUGAGCCUGCUGUCUUAGGCAUUGCUGCUUUAAUAAGCUGGACUGAAUUGUGGUAAAAUAGAUGAUAGAUUUGAGCAUAUCCUUGGCUCCAGUAUAGUCUUGCUACCAAAUGGUUUUAAAUACAAGGGCCUUCAGAAUUUGCUUUUAAGUCACACUAUUCCUCCAAAAGUAAGAAAACCACCUUACUCUGAAGCGUUGCUCUCUUUCCCUUGCCUUCUCCAUUUUCCUUUCAUGACAUAAUACAGGCAUGCUACAACAGAAGAUGCUGUACAUACUCUGCCGCCUUCCCUUUUAGUGCAAGAACCACUCCUUUUAUCUGAAAGAUCAGCCACCUAAGGCGCUUUUUCAGCACCCGAAGUUGUUUGAUACAGGGAGUACUACUGGAUGAGCCCAACAGAGGGCAAUGGGAUACACUGGCAUGAAUCUGAUCCCUACCCCACCAAAGACGCUAAAGCUGGUCAAAGCCCAUUCAGUUCAAAACCACCACGGCUAUUUUCAGUUUUGUGCCUCUGUUACGCACAGCACUGCCUCACACACAGUAACAUGGAAGAGACAAAGCAGGACCGGCAAGAAGAGAGCAGUUAAAGUUUCAAGGAGCGUUCAACUUUGGUGUGUUUCAGAACUCUUGGAGCAGGAGGACCAAAAGAAGAUUAAAAUAGGAUAUUCUGGAAACAAUUCCCAUCAAGAUGGAAUGAAGAAUCUGAGAAUUAUCAGCUAAGACCUAUUCUUGGGAAUUCAGUAUUCCAGCUCAUCUCCCAGGCAUGCUCAUACAAGAUUGCUAUAGUCAAAGAAACUUCCCAGUAUUCAUCUAAACAGAGCACGCAGAUGCUACGAGAGAUUUGGAUGGAUUCUCAUCACUUAUACAUUGUGGCCUUGUCUCCAUAUAAGUGUGUUAACAAACGGGGUUAUUUUACAAAUUACAAUGCAUUCCUACAUAGCGCAAUAGAAUUGCAGAAAAGCUCAAAAUUUGAAAUACAUACGUUGAAAUAUACGCUGAUUUGUUCAUUUGGUAGUAGGCAAUUUCACUGAUAUUUAGCUUUUCUUUUGUUGUAUGCUUUUCUCAGAAUCAGUAUCUGGGAAAAAGUGAAUUAACAAGCAUCUGUACAGUGGGAGGAUGACCACACAGUGAUUUCAAAAUCACGCU